GGCCUGCUCACUCAGUUGGUUAGAGCGUCGUGCUAAUAACGCGAAGGUCGUAGGUUCGAUCCCUGCGCAGGCCA
rnacentral:tRNA from 1 species